CACAACAGCAGCUGAAGUGAAGAGAGAGGUGAGAGCUUUCCACCAUUGUUACUAUUCACUUCAAACUUCCCAAGCUCAUAUCUUGAGCUACGGAGCUCCGAUCGCCGCACCGUUUACGGCUACGCGUUCCUUGUGAAGAGCUCUACAAAACCCACCCAAGAAACCCUCAAGGUUUGCUCUAAUCCUUGCUUAGCUUUGGAUUUGCGUUGUCAAAUCUGUUGGGAAAGUUUGAUUAUUGUGGCUUUGGGAGCUUUUGGAACUUAUUUGUGCUUGUUGGAGUGGAUUUGAAAGCUUGGAUUGUGGUUGGAAGCUUGUUGGUGCUCAUUUUGAGUUUGGGUGCAUAAAGGGAAUCGGCCAAGAUGCAGGUCGCAACCCACCUCGGUGAGUUGCUUUGGUUGGUGACAGGAGCGGAGAAUCUUGGAUAAUUUUGGAGUUCUUUUUGGUUUAUUUUGUUUAUACAUCUCUCCUUUUGUAUUUUGUUUUGCCUAGAGGCAUGUAUUUGAGAGAACAAAACUUGUAUAAGCUAUUUUCACUGUAUGGUUGUGUAUAUCAGUAUAUGGCUAGCCGGCUUAAACUCCGCGAGUCGUGACUAGUUCCCUAUGAUAUUAUAUACUUAUCUUUUGUUAUAUCUUCUCUGUUUCUUAUGCCUUAAGCUAGUAGCUCCGUUAGUACGUUUGUGCUUCAAAAUUCUGUUUUUGAGCUAUAUCUUUCA